rnacentral:lncRNA from 1 species
UGGGGUGGGAGCUUUGAAGGGUAGGGAGCCUGAUGAUCCUGCCCUGGGUGCUUGGCACAGCCCAAACUGGGGACAGAAGGCAGUUCCCUACAGAAGAGUAGGUCCUUGCUGGUCCACAGUGAGAGGAGAUCCACCAGGCAUCUCUCACCUCCAGCCCAAGCACCUGGGAGGUGCCAAGGGAAACACCCAUGGUUAGAAGGGCCACCUUUGAUGACUGAGCUUCCCGUGCUGUACCCAGGGUCCUCCUGCCCCGGUGGGAGAGGGUCCCCUUGUCCCUCUUCCAGACUUCCUUUUGCUCAUGAUUUUGAUGAGGCUGCCCAGAAGAGCCUUAAUCCAGUUCCCAUCUGUCACUAGCCUGCAGCAUCUGCAGCUCCAACUCGGGUACCUCUGCUUCCUCCAGCAGGGGGCAGAGGCCCAGCACCUGGGCAGGGACCAGUGAUCAGCAGGUUCUCUGGAUUGCUCCCAAGGACUAAAGCAGAUAUCUGGACCACAGGCUUAGCUUCUGGGGGAGGACUUAGACUUUCAAAACCCUCCACGACUCCCCAGAGCCACUCAUCAAACCAGAAGCCAGCUUCUCUCCCUCCCUCAGCUUUUGGACAUUUAUAGUCAAAACCAUUUCAACUUCUGUAGAAAGUCACUGAGCACAUAAUUUUGUACCCAGCACAGAGUGAGGAGUAACACAGGGUUCUAGACUCUUGUAAGGUGGGCUGGGGUUGUGGCUCAGGGGCAGAGCACUUGCCUGGCACAUGUG